AGAGUUUGAUCCUGGCUCAGGAUGAACGCUAGCGACAGGCUUAACACAUGCAAGUCGAGGGGCAGCACAGGUAGCAAUACCGGGUGGCGACCGGCGCACGGGUGAGUAACGCGUAUGCAACUUACCUAUCAGAGGGGGAUAACCCGGCGAAAGUCGGACUAAUACCGCAUGAAGCAGGGGCCCCGCAUGGGGAUAUUUGCUAAAGAUUCAUCGCUGAUAGAUAGGCAUGCGUUCCAUUAGGCAGUUGGCGGGGUAACGGCCCACCAAACCGACGAUGGAUAGGGGUUCUGAGAGGAAGGUCCCCCACAUUGGUACUGAGACACGGACCAAACUCCUACGGGAGGCAGCAGUGAGGAAUAUUGGUCAAUGGGCGUAAGCCUGAACCAGCCAAGUCGCGUGAGGGAUGAAGGUUCUAUGGAUCGUAAACCUCUUUUAUAAGGGAAUAAAGUGCGGGACGUGUCCUGUUUUGUAUGUACCUUAUGAAUAAGGAUCGGCUAACUCCGUGCCAGCAGCCGCGGUAAUACGGAGGAUCCGAGCGUUAUCCGGAUUUAUUGGGUUUAAAGGGUGCGUAGGCGGCCUUUUAAGUCAGCGGUGAAAGUCUGUGGCUCAACCAUAGAAUUGCCGUUGAAACUGGGGGGCUUGAGUAUGUUUGAGGCAGGCGGAAUGCGUGGUGUAGCGGUGAAAUGCUUAGAUAUCACGCAGAACCCCGAUUGCGAAGGCAGCCUGCCAAGCCAUGACUGACGCUGAUGCACGAAAGCGUGGGGAUCAAACAGGAUUAGAUACCCUGGUAGUCCACGCAGUAAACGAUGAUCACUAGCUGUUUGCGAUACAGUGUAAGCGGCACAGCGAAAGCGUUAAGUGAUCCACCUGGGGAGUACGCCGGCAACGGUGAAACUCAAAGGAAUUGACGGGGGCCCGCACAAGCGGAGGAACAUGUGGUUUAAUUCGAUGAUACGCGAGGAACCUUACCCGGGCUUAAAUUGCAGAUGAAUUACGGUGAAAGCCGUAAGCCGCAAGGCAUCUGUGAAGGUGCUGCAUGGUUGUCGUCAGCUCGUGCCGUGAGGUGUCGGCUUAAGUGCCAUAACGAGCGCAACCCUUGCCACUAGUUACUAACAGGUAAAGCUGAGGACUCUGGUGGGACUGCCAGCGUAAGCUGCGAGGAAGGCGGGGAUGACGUCAAAUCAGCACGGCCCUUACAUCCGGGGCGACACACGUGUUACA
rnacentral:rRNA from 1 species